rnacentral:rRNA from 1 species
UACGAAGGCCCCAAGCGUUAUCCGGAAUUACUGGGCGUAAAGCGUCUGUAGGUGGUCUAGCAAGUCUUUCUGUGAAACUUCGGGGCUCAACCCUGAAUUGCAGGAGAAACUAUUAGACUUGAGUGUGGGAGGGGCUAGCAGAACGGUAAGAGUAGGGGUGCAAUCCGUUGAUACUUACCAGAAUACCAAAAGCGAAGGCAGCUAGCUGGAACACUACUGACACUGAGAGACGAAAGCGUGGGGAGCAAAAGGG